rnacentral:tRNA from 1 species
UCCCCAGUGGCGCAAUUGGUUAGCGCACGGUACUUAUAAGACAGUAAGAAUGUGUGGUGAGCAAUGCCGGGGUUGUGAGUUCGAGCCUCACCUGGGGAA